rnacentral:snRNA from 1 species
CUUCUCACUUUGGUAGAACACAUACUAAAGUUGGAACAAUAUAGAGAAGAUGAGCAUGGCCCCUGUACAAGGAUGACAGGCAAAUUUAAUGAGGCAUUCCAUUAAAAA